rnacentral:rRNA from 1 species
CACUCUUGGAUGGACCUGCGGUGCAUUAGCUAGUUGUAGGGUAACGGCUACCAGCGAUGAUGCAUAGCCGAGUUGAGAGACUGAUCGGCCACAUUGGGACUGAGACACGGCCCAAACUCCUACGGGAGGCAGCAGUAGGGAAUCUUCCACAAUGGACGCAAGUCUGAUGGAGCAACGCCGCGUGAGUGAAGAAGGGUUUCGGCUCGUAAAGCUCUGUUGUUGGUGAAGAAGGACAGGGGUAGUAACUGACCUUUGUUUGACGGUAAUCAAUUAGAAAGUCACGGGCUAACUACGUGCCAGCAGCCGCGGUAAAU